rnacentral:rRNA from 1 species
UACGUAGGGCGCAAGCGUUGUCCGGAAUUAUUGGGCGUAAAGAGCUCGUAGGCGGUUUGUCGCGUCUGCUGUGAAAACCUAAGGCUCAACCUUGGGCUUGCAGUGGGUACGGGCAGACUAGAGUGCGGUAGGGGUGACUGGAAUUCCUGGUGUAGCGGUGAAAUGCGCAGAUAUCAGGAGGAACACCGAGUGGCGAAGGCAGGUCUCUGGGCCACUACUGACGCUGGAGAAG